UACGGAGGGUGCAAGCAUUAAUCGGAGUUAUUGGGCGUAAAGGGCGCGUAGGCGGAGAUAAAAGUCAGAUGUGAAAUCCCGGGGCUCAACCCCGGAACUGCAUUUGAAACUCUAUUUCUUGAGGUUAGACGGAGAAAGCGGAAUUCCACAAGUAGCGGUGAAAUGCGUAGAUAUGUGGAAGAACACCAGUGGCGAAGGCGGCUUUCUAGUUUAAAACUGACGCUGAGGCGCGAAAGCAAGGGUAGCAAACAGG
rnacentral:misc_RNA from 1 species